UACGAAGGGGGCUAGCGUUGUUCGGAAUUACUGGGCGUAAAGCGCGCGCAGGCGGUCUUCCAAGUCAGUGGUGAAAGCCUGGAGCUCAACUCCAGAACUGCCAUUGAAACUGCAGGACUUGAGUACGAGAGAGGUGAGUGGAAUUCCCAGUGUAGAGGUGAAAUUCGUAGAUAUUGGGAAGAACACCGGUGGCGAAGGCGGCUCACUGGCUCGUAACUGACGCUCAGGCGCGACAGCGUGGGGAUCAAACAGG
rnacentral:rRNA from 1 species